rnacentral:rRNA from 1 species
UACGUAGGCAGCAAGCGUUGUUCGGAGUUACUGGGCGUAAAGGGUGUGUAGGCGGCUAUUUAAGUUUGGUGUGAAAUCUCCCGGCUCAACUGGGAGGGUGCGCCGAAUACUGAGUGGCUAGAGUGCGGGAGAGGAGAGUGGAAUUCCUGGUGUAGCGGUGAAAUGCGUAGAUAUCAGGAGGAACACCGGUGGUGUAGACGGCUCUCUGGACCGUAACUGACGCUGAGACACGAAAGCGUGGGGAGCAAACAGG